GGGCCCGCACAAGCAGUGGAGCAUGUGGUUUAAUUCGAUGCAACGCGAAGAACCUUACCAGGGUUUGACAUCCUGCGAAUCUCUUGGAAACAGGAGAGUGCCUUCGGGAACCGAGUGACAGGUGCUGCAUGGCUGUCGUCAGCUCGUGUCGUGAGAUGUUGGGUUAAGUCCCGUAACGAGCGCAACCCUUGUCCUUAGUUGCCAGCACAUUAUGGUGGGAACUCUAAGGAGACUGCCGGUGAUAAACCGGAGGAAGGUGUGGAUGACGUCAAGUCAUCAUGCCCCUUACAUCCUGGGCUACACACGUACUACAAUGCUACGGACAAAGGGCAGCAAGUUCGCGAGGACAAG
rnacentral:rRNA from 1 species